rnacentral:rRNA from 1 species
GACGAACGCUGGCGGCGUGCUUAACACAUGCAAGUCGAACGGAAAGACCCUGCUUUUGUGGGGUGCUCGAGUGGCGAACGGGUGAGUAACACGUGAGUAACCUGCCCUUGACUUUGGGAUAACUUCAGGAAACUGGGGCUAAUACCGGAUAGGAGCUCCUGCUGCAUGGUGGGGGUUGGAAAGUUUCGGCGGUUGGGGAUGGACUCGCGGCUUAUCAGCUUGUUGGUGGGGUAGUGGCUUACCAAGGCUUUGACGGGUAGCCGGCCUGAGAGGGUGACCGGCCACAUUGGGACGGAGAUACGGCCCAGACUCCUACGGGAGGCAGCAGUGGGGAAUAUUGCAUAAUAGGCGGAAGCCUGAUGCAGCAACGCCGCGUGCGGGAUGACGGCCUUCGGGUUGUAAACCGCUUUCGCCUGUGACGAAGCGUGAGUGACGGUAAUGGGUAAAGAAGCACCGGCUAACUACGUG